AUUGAAGGAGCGAGGAAUUUUGAAAUUCAACCGCGAAAUACUAAAAAACUGCAGCUUUUUAGAAGUGACAAUAAAAAGAAUAUCAAACAGCAAGUGACUUUCUAUCUAUUUUGAAAAUUUUGCGACCUUCCUUGAGGUGUCCAACGAAACUCAUUUUUAAAGCAUAUUUUUGAGGCACAGAUCACGGACUAUGAGGAAAUUGACUGACUUUAAUUCUGUUGCUUUGGAUUGGCAAGCCCCUCCCACGAUCAACUGCAUUCUGGUGAUAUAAUUAACCUUUCUGACUUUGUGAAAAUAGCUGACUGGAUCGUUGGUUUCGUUUAUGUUGUUUACUUCACAAAGUGACUUUUGUAGUACUGUGAAGACUUUAUUUCCCUCGCUUGAUCUAUCAACGUUUGUUUUCACUUUGACAGUUUUAAUAUUUGUAGGUAACACAGACUGAUCAGAAUCUCUAGUUAGGAGAGCCUCGGUAUUUCUUUCGUUUAAUACUUCAAUGGCUUCUUGAGAAACCGCGUUUGCGUCACAAGUGGCAGGAUCCUUCCUUUUACAAUAUACUCCACAUAGUGACUCUUCUGACUCUCUGAAAAUGUAUUUUUCGUCGCUUUACCUAUUACAACUUGUAUUUACUGGCACACUGGUUGGGAGAGGCUUCUACAAUCGCGUGCACAAACACAUAGUUUUCACAAUCACAUGAAACUUAAAGCAUUGUCACUAUCUUUUGUGUCAAGAACAAGCGAUAAAUUUCUCUUACAGCUGCAUGUCUUUUAAAAGUGAGAAAUUCUUAAAUAGUUUAACAUAGCUACAUAACGGUAAAUUUAAAUUUUCACUAUCGCUAAUUUGUCUUUGACGGAUGACCUUGAAUAUAUGUCAGUUUCAAAAAUAGACUACCGGAUGUGGUUAAGGAGACAAACGACGCCAUCAAGUAGAAUAAGCUGAAGCAAGGUACUUAUCCAAUGUGAUACAAUAGACAUUUUUUUAAGUCACACAAAAGCGUUGAUUUUAAGCGAACCAAAUCAGUGAGCUCAGUUGUGUGAAACAUUUGUCUAUAUAAAAAAUUCAAAUUCAAAUGCUCUUAUUCACAUUAUACAUUACAUCUUCACACGAAAAGGUGAUAUAUCGCAAAUAACAAUGAAUUUCCGACGUACAGAGAUCAUUAAGACUGCAUUUACAUUGUAUUGAAUUCUCUCAUCACGAAAUCUUUGUUUGCUUUAAGGAAGUAAAUGUUCGGAGUAGACGCUUAUUGAAGAUGAUAGAGUUAGUCAAUUUAACUAAAUUUUUGACAUUGAAGGAUAUUACUGACUUUAAAUUCAUAGAAAGUUAAACCUGCCACGAUAGCAAACCGACAUAGUGUAAACGGGGCCUAAAUUAAGAAGAAAAAAAUUUAGCUGGCGUCGUCUAUCCAAGGAAAUACUCUUAAUAAAAACCAGUUAAUUUUAAUGUCAAAAACAAAUAUGGUUUUCUUUUCAAGAUAUUAAAUGAUAUUUUU